GUGCUCGCUUCGGCAGCACAUACACUCAAAUUGGAACGAUACAGAGAAGAUUGGCAUGGCCCCUGCACAAGGAUGGCACACAAAUUCGUGAAAAAUGCUUCAAAAAA